UACCGCCAGGACUUGGAGGCUGGCUCUGGGCAAUCUGCUCGAGCCUCAUGUCCUCUUGGUUUUAGGUCUUUGGAAAAUUCUUCUCCGUCGGGCAGAGAAGAUCCUUCGUACAGACAGCAUUGCUGGCCAUCCACGACCCCCUGCUGCGUGUCAGCCAGGCUGGGCUGGUGCUGGUCUACUCCCUCCUGGGGGAAGCCCAGCAACUGAUGGGGGACACACAUGAGGAUGUCACAGCCAAGGUCAUGGGCCAGCUUCACAUGAUUCGGCACUUGCGCCAGAUGCCCGAGGUGCUGCAAGGGCUGUGGCUCAUCUGAUGCUCUUCAAGGUUCCCCUCCCUGUUCAGCAAGUCCCACUCCCUGCUGCAGACCCUCUGUUCUCCUUCUGGGGUGCCUGGACCCUGAUUGUAACAUCUCUCUGGCCCAGCCUCUUACACAGAUGUGUGCUGCAGCCAGCCCAGCGCAGGGAGCAGUGGGUACAGAUGAUCUCCUCCUGUCAGACCAAGCAACAGGGGUCCCCUUGAGGCUUAGAUGGAAGAUCCCAGGCAUCUCCUGGAGAGGAUGCCCCUGGAGACUGUUUCGUGCAGGAGGUUUGAGCGGGGAGAGAUCACUCACUGUCCUGACCCAUGGGUCAUUAACCCGGGUCUGCAGGGUUCCUGGGAGCAGCCACCCUCCAGCACGCCACAUGGAAGCCUACGAAAAACUGCUUACCUAGGACUGACGAAGUCCAGACCCAGUUUGAGGCUCCUAUUGGCAGAGUCCCAGAGCAGCUAAUCGGCCCCCGGGACCUCCUUAAACCAGCAGCAGGAAGAAGAAGCUGUCUGAACAGCCGAGCUCCUCCCCGGCUCUGGACCGUGUGUUGGCUGUUCCUGCUCCCACUCCCCAGGCUUGAUUUCCUGGCAUCCGGACUCAGGGUGACUCACCUGACUUGAGGUUCUGAACACAAUUUGGUCUUUUGCUUCUGCUCUUCCAGUGUCCUGACCCAGCUGACUCUCGACUCCUGUCUUGUGAGUGUGGACUCUGCCUCUGACCACUAGGUCUGGCUGCCCAUGACCCAGCCAUGACACUUGACUUUUCUACAAUUCCUCCAGUGCCCUUUU